UCAUCUGCAAAGUAUAAAGAG
rnacentral:misc_RNA from 1 species